UUCUUUUUCUUGUUUACAAAUAUAUAUUGUAGAAAAUGUUCACACCUGAUAAAAGUCACCUUAUCAGUUGACCUCUAUGUGACAGCUCAGUCUUCACCCUGUUUUUUUGUAGGUCAGUCUGGGAAUUUAAUUAACUUUCGAGUGAAUUCGACCUUGAUGCGCACUCGACUGGAACAUUUCGUACUUCUAUUGGCUCGUGCGGCUACAAAGUUCUUUCGCCCAAGCACCCCACACUCACUUCUCCCCCUCUGACGACAAGGUGUCAAUAGGAUGAGCCAAUAAUUAUUGGCAUCAAAAUAUCACUGUUAAUUGUUUGUUUGCGUUGCGUGAUACAUUUUUGAUAUUGGAUAAUAAUCAUGCGACAUCAACAAAGUUGAUACUCAAGAAACGAAAUUUAUGCAAAUUGCGAGCGAGUGUAUAAUCCAUUAUUUAUCCCAUUAAGAGUAAAAUCAGCGUUUCCAUUUGCUGACUAAGUACAAGUAGAGUAUCUUUGCUCGACUUUGUGAAUCUGCCUACUGAAUCACUUACAUGGGAAACACUUGCAGUGCCGACCCUACGAGAAGUAACCCUGGAGAAUCGAAGAGGAAACAAAGGAAAUUUAAGAAAGAAAUGCUCCAAACACAUCUGAAUGUAAUGAA
rnacentral:lncRNA from 1 species